GUGUUAUGGAUCUAUCUAUCUAUCCAAUGUGGCUGUGGGCACAUUGAUUUUAUGGCUGUGGAAAUAAUAGGGUUUAAUUUCAACCAUGAGUAUAUGAAUGAGGAGAGAGAUUAAGAAAGGACUUUGGAUUUGCUGGUAAGAUUUUGGUGACUUGUUAAGGCAACAUUUUCAUAUAAAAUUGAGGCUAAAUUGUCCUGAAAAAAAUUAGGCAACAGGUAAAUAUUACUCAUUUAUUUUCGUCUCCUAAAUUUUGCAUUUUUCCUAGUUUUCAAGAUUUUGUGCAGAGAAGAAUGCCAUUAAGCCAAAUAUUAUUUUCUUUAUCUCUUCAUAGGAUGUUGAACUUGCUUAACUUUGGGAAAGCUAAAACUGCUGAAUACAAUGUUUCCAAGAUAUGUAAGGCGGCCCCCAAAGAGUUACAUGUCUUUGUACGUUUUUGUAGCUGUUAACAAAGAAGGGCUCUCUUUCAGAAAACUGAUUGGACUCUCUGUUGGACGCUAUAUAGAUACCACUUUAAAGAAUGCAUUUGUUUAUUAUUAAUCAGAAAUUUUGUGGGUUUUCUUUUUCUCAGUGCCUUUAGCAGCAAAAAGUAUCUAGGAGCUAAAAUACAGCUACAGCUGGAGCUAACUUCCAUUCAUUCAUCAUUGUCACUUCAUGAAUUAGGAGCCAGUAGACCAUUUCUCUUACUUUACUUCAGCUCCUUUUCAGAAUGAGCUUUCUAUCUCUAAAGUGGCAAUGAUCACUCACUUCAAUUAAAAUGACUAAUAUCUACCAGAGACAAAGGAGAGUCCCCUGCUAUUAACCAGUUGGGAACUCAAGUUUGGGCCACAGCAUGGCUCUGAGAAAUUUCUGUUGUUGCAACUAUGCAUCAUCCUUGGCCCAUGGUUCAUCAGCCACUUGGGUCACCAGCCUAUUGAGGUAGCAACAAGUACGGCUGAGGAAAGAGGCUGACUGCACCGUCUACUGGUGGUCACAGUGUCCACCUGAUUCCUGAGAACCUUUUUAGUGUGUACACUGUGGUAGCAUUCAUAGCAAUACAUGUUAUCAAACUGUGUUUAUUCUGAGAAGCCCAUUCCCAUAACUUUGUGUAGCUGUACUCAUUACAGUCUUUCAGUUUUGCUUCUACCAAGUCUCUGACCAUAU